rnacentral:tmRNA from 1 species
GGGGAUGUCGGGUUUCGACAGGCGAACGGAUUGAAGGAUUGCAAGCCGAGGUGUCGGUAUGCACUCUCGUUAAACAACCGACAAAAAAAUAGCUGCCAAACAGCCAAGCUAUUCUUACGCUCUCGCAGCCUAACACCUGACAGAGCGUCGUCUCCCUGGUUUUCUCCUAUGGGACCAGGAUCAGGCGUCGAAAACAUAGGAUGCUAUGACGGGGACUGUCUUCUAACCGCCAUUUAAGACCAGAGGGCCGACGCGAAGGCAUCCUGUCGAUGGGAGGUCAGAGCGUAUAAGAAAAAAACAUCGACUACGCUUGUAGUACAUCCUCCGAUAGGUUUGUUUGGACGGGGAGUUCGACUCUCCCCCAUCUCCACCA